rnacentral:rRNA from 1 species
GUGGUAAUGCCGGAUGCUCCGACUCCUCGCAUGGGGUGUCGGGAAAGAUUUCAUCGGUAUGGGAUGGGGUCGCGUCCUAUCAGGUAGUCGGCGGGGUAACGGCCCACCGAGCCUACGACGGGUAGCCGGCCUGAGAGGGCGACCGGCCACAUUGGGACUGAGAUACGGCCCAGACUCCUACGGGAGGCAGCAGUGGGGAAUAUUGCACAAUGGGCGCAAGCCUGAUGCAGCGACGCCGCGUGCGGGAUGACGGCCUUCGGGUUGUAAACCGCUUUUGAUCGGGAGCAAGCCUUCGGGUGAGUGUACCUUUCGAAUAAGCACCGGCUAACUACGUGCCAGCAGCCGCGGUAAUACGUAGGGUGCAAGCGUUAUCCGGAAUUAUUGGGCGUAAAGGGCUCGUAGGCGGUUCGUCGCGUCCGGUGUGAAAGUCCAUCGCUUAACGGUGGAUCUGCGCCGGGUACGGGCGGGCUGGAGUGCGGUAGGGGAGA